rnacentral:rRNA from 1 species
CCCUUCAGAGGGGGACAACAGUUGGAAACGACUGCUAAUACCGCAUACGAUCUGACCUCGGCAUCGAGGAUGGAUGAAAGGUGGCCUCUAUUUAUAAGCUAUCGCUGAAGGAGGGGAUUGCGUCUGAUUAGCUAGUUGGAGGGGUAACGGCCCACCAAGGCGAUGAUCAGUAGCCGGUCUGAGAGGAUGAACGGCCACAUUGGGACUGAGACACGGCCCAG